rnacentral:rRNA from 1 species
GAAACAGUGGCUAAGACUGGAUAGGAAGAUAAAAGGCAUCUUUUAUCUUUUAAAAGACCUAGUAAUAGGUAUGCUUUAGGAGGGGCUUGCGCCAUAUUAGUUAGUUGGUAGGGUAAUGGCCUACCAAGACGAUGAUGUGUAGCUGGACUGAGAGGUUGAACAGCCACAUUGGGACUGAGACACGGGCCCAAACUCCUACGGGAGGCAGCAGUAGGGAAUUUUCGGCAAUGGAGGAAACUCUGACCGAGCAACGCCGCGUGAAUGACGAAGUACUUCGGUAUGUAAAGUUCUUUUAUCAAGGAAGAAAAGCAAAUGGCGAACCAUUUGUUUGCCGGUACUUGAUGAAUAAGCCCCGGCUAAUUAUGUGCCAGCAGCCGCGGUAAGACAUAAGGGGCAAGUGUUAUCCGGAAUUAUUGGGCGUAAAGGGUGCGUAGGCGGUCUAGUAAGUCAGUGGUGUAAUGGCAACGCUUAACGUUGUCCGGCUAUUGAAACUGCUAAACUUGAGUUAGAUAGAGGCGAGUGGAAUUCCAUGUGUAGCGGUAAAAUGCGUAAAUAUAUGGAGGAACACCAGAGGCGUAGGCGGCUCGCUGGGUCUUAACUGACGCUGAGGCACGAAAGCGUGGGGAGCAAACAGGAUUAGAUACCCUGGUAGUCCACGCCGUAAACGAUGAGUACUAAGUGUCGGGUUAAACCGGUACUGAAGUUAACACAUUAAGUACUCCGCCUGAGUAGUACGUACGCAAGUAUGAAACUUAAAGGAAUUGACGGGACUCCGCACAAGCGGUGGAUCAUGUUGUUUAAUUCGAAGAUACCCGAAAAACCUUACCAGGUCUUGACAUGUUUUUGCAAAAUGAUAGUAAUAUCGUGGAGGUUACCAGAAACACAGGUGGUGCAUGGUUGUCGUCAGCUCGUGUCGUGAGAUGUUAGGUUAAGUCCUAAAACGAGCGAAACCCUUAUCGUUAGUUGCCAGCACGUUAUGGUGGGGACUUUAACGAGACUGCCAAUGAUAAAUUGGAGGAAGGUGAGGAUCACGUCAAAUCAGCAUGCCCCUUAUGACCUGGGCUACAAACGUGAUACAAUGGCUGUUACAAAGGGUAGCUGAAACGCAAGUUCUUGGCCAAUCCCCAAAAACAGUCCCAGUCCGGAUUGAAGUCUGCAACUCGACUUCAUGAAGUCGAAUCGCUGUAAUCGCGAAUCAGCAUGUCGCGGUGAAUACGUUCUCGGGGUUUGUACACACCGCCCGUCA